GUCAUUAGGCAUCAGGGAAACGCAAAUCAAGACCACAAUGAGACACCACUUCACACCCAUUAGAAGGGCUAUAACUUAAAAAAACAAAAAAGAAAAAUAACACGUUGGCAAGGAUACGGAAAAAUUGGAACCCUCACGCCCUGCUUGCGGGAAUGUAAAGUGGUUCGGCUGCUGUGGAAAGCAGUUUGGCAGCUCGCCUAAAUGUUAAACAUAGAGUUAGCAUAUGACCCAGUAAUUCCACUGGGUGGUAUUUACCCAAAAGAACUGAAAACAACCAUUCGAACAUACCUGUUUUGACAGGUAUGACACACGCUCCAACAUGGAUGAACCGUGAAAACACUAUACUGAGUAAAAUAAGCCAGACACAAAGGACAGACGCUGUAAGAUGCCACUUACUUGAAAUAUGUAGUGAGGAGUCGGGCUCCGGGUUAAACGUCUUUGUGCGACUUUUUGGCCGCCACAGGCCAUUACAAACGCUUUCCCUGGUGGCCAUGCGGGGAGGGGUGGGGAAGCUCCCUUCCCCCAGCAGCCCGGCCCGGCGGCGGGCACUGCGGGCUCUGAGGGAGCUGCAGGCGAGGACUCUGCCCCUGGCCGGCCUUCUCCUCGCCCAUUUACAUUCCUAGCCGGGUGCCUCCAUUCCUAGGUCGCUAUCUGCGACCUCAGGCAGGGCUCUUCUCCAGGCGCCUCUGUGAGGCCUCUUUAGGUGGGGAUGAGGGGGGACCACCAAGAUACUGCCCCCCUGACUCAGGGCCCAGUGCUCCUCCACUCCCCGCUGUCCUCCUCCACACCCACCCCUCCUCCUCCCUGUGGGGUCCCCUCAACACGUGCUCUGCUCCACCUGACCCUCCACAGGUGCGCCACUCAUGGGGGAAGAUGGAACGGGGCGUCGGUGCCUUCUCGCUUCUGUCACCGCAGACUUCCUAUAAAUGUGGUCAUACUCUACGCUUCCUUUGUGUAAGGCUCCUUUCACUCAGGGCAAUGUUUCUGAGGUUCACCUUUACUGUGGGCAGCGGCAGCUCGUUCCUUCCCGUUGACUCUUCAAGGUGUGAAAAUUAAUAAAGGGAAACCUUACACAAAAUGGAGUGGGGAGGCCAGAAGGGGGAGCCCUCAGCACUACCGCUCUGCGUCAAUUCCAGGAAAGAUCGUCCGUCACAGGCCCCGGAAGAGACGUCCACUGCCUUCCAGACAAGAAAGACCACUCCAGCAACCCAGCCAACGAGAAACAGUCACCACCCUGAACAAGACCUUGUUUUCCACCAAUGGGCUUCUGUUCAAAACAACCCUCCCAACUUCCUCCUUUUUCUCUAUAAAAUAAAGUCCCUCUCCUUUGUGUGCUAGACUUGACUGUGGCUUUUGCUAUAGUGUGCUUGUCCCAAAUUGCAAUUCCUUUCCUAUUCCCAAAUAAACUGAUUUUGCUGGUAAAAUAA
rnacentral:lncRNA from 1 species